UUGAAUCACAUGCUCUUCUUGCCUCGAUUCUUAUGCCUUUCAUAUGUUGAUAUUUGGAGUCACUGAUUCGUUUUUUUUCUCUAAAGUCAGUUGACCCCGUGUCUCUCUAGUUGAAAUAGUCUGGACAUUCAUGUGGUCUAUACUUGAAAUGUGCUGAUUAUGCUUUUCUGUCUUCUUUAUUACUUCAUGGUGCUCUUGUUCAUCUUUUCUGUUGUCUCGAUUUAUUGUUGUAGAUUUCUAGCAAAGUUAGCGUAGUCUUGUAUGGUUACUCUUGUUUUCUUGAGUAGUUUGA
rnacentral:lncRNA from 1 species